AGCCACACCCACAGUGACUAGGUUGGUUUCUCAUAAAGAGUUGUUUAAUUGUAAAGCUUUGGUUUAUACUGUGAGUUGAACUAACCCACAUCCUUCUAAUAGUGGAUUCCUGUCUCUGGUCUGAGGCUAAGUGCUCCUUCUACUGGACACAGAUGGAAUCUCAGCGAGAAAAGACAUUCAUGAAACUACCAAG
rnacentral:lncRNA from 12 species